ACCAGCCUCUCCCGCCGCUGGGGAGGAGGCAGGGCGGGAGAGAGGAAGGAAGAGGAAGCGGAGAAGGGAAGGGGCCCGCCCGUUAUUUCUGGCCGGGCCGCUGCGCUACGGAGGAACUGUUGACGUGGAUGAAGGGCGCUGGGCCCCGCUCCCUGCUCUCGGCCGCACCGGCCUCCUUCCGCGGCCCUCUGCGCGGGGAUCGCUGUCCUCCCUCUGCCACCUCCGCGGCCUGGCAGGCCGUCGGCACCGCCUGAGUCGGGGCAGUCUGGGCCCCCUAGGCGUGGGCGCCCUCGGAGGGGACCCCUGAUUCCGCGGCCUGGGGCCCCGCGGCGUUGUGGAGCAGUGUGGAGAGAAGGUGGCUGAUACUGCUCCCUGGCCUGGCCCUGGGGACCUCGAGCCCUGUCCCUGGCCCUGCAGGGCCCUCACUGGCUGGUAUGAGGGGCCCCUCGCCCCCAUGCAUACAUACUUUCCACCGAUGACUUACAUGUAUGUGUUAAUGCUUAUAAAUAAAUAGACCCAGCGCAAAAGAACAUCCAUGUAGACGACCCCCUUCCUCCUUCCCUGCAGGAUAACAGAUCUGGAGCUAAGCAAAGGCUGCUGAGUGGACUGCAGUUUCCAGCCGGCCCUGUGGCCAAGUCCUCAUCAAGAGUGUGAGGAGCCCUGCAGUAGGAACUGCUUCUGUGUUGGGUCCAUGCAGAGUGGGGGCGUCUGCUCCAAGACCCCUAAGAUCAGGCUGUGGCAGCACUCCAGCCAUGCUGGAUCAGCACCCUAAGGAAAAGCUCAAGGCUCAAGACUUAGAAUUAUUUUCACCAUCCUCAAAGAUCCUGUAUCAUUUUGUGGUUUUAAUUAACCAAACAUUUUGUACAAUACUGCAAAUAAGGAAGAGAACUCUUUAUCUUUUGAAAACACAUGUUCCUUGAUUUACAGUGGGAUUGUAAACCAAUUCACCCAUUGCAACUUGAAAAUGUCUUAAGUUAAAAAUGCACAUGAUUCACCUAGCUGGGUGAGCAUCUCAGCAACACGACACACUGCAGUGCUGGUUGCCCCUUGUGAUGGACAGCUGUGACUCACCAUCACCACUCAGCACCACCAAAGGGUUGCACUGAAGAUCGCCAGCCCUGGAGAGAUCAAGAUUCAAAGUUUGGUUUCUACUGAAUGUAGAAAUUUAGGGGCCAGGGCUGGGGAUUUAGCUCAGUGGUUCCACCACCUGCCUCGCAAGCACAAGGUCCCAAGUUUGAUCCCCGGUACUAAAAAAAAAAAAAAUUCAGGGGCCAGGGAUGCAGCUCAGCGGUGCAACAUCUGCCAGGCAAGCGCGAGGCCCUGAGUUUGAUUCCCAAAAGAGAAAAAGAAGAAGAAAUUCAGGCACCGUCCUUCAGUUGGAAAAUUGUAGGUACUACCACCAUGAAGUUGGGACCACAUCCACACCUGUACGUCUGUAUCUCUAUAUCCAUCUACCUGUCUGCCUGUCUUCUCAUUGGCUCUGCGUCUCUGGGGAACCUGAGACAGACGAGAGACUUGCUGACUCCAGCCUCUGUGUUACUGGGUCUCUUCGUUACCGCAGCCCCCGACCCUUACUAAUUUGGAUGUUGAUUGGUUUCCAUGAGUGUGUCCACUGCUGGCUUGGCUUCUGUGACCUUCUUAUCCUUUAAGGUCCUUUGCUGGCUUCAUGUCACUCUCCAGGAAUUGUACAUAUUGAGUGUAUGCACCUGUUGAUUGUAAUAUUUACUGCAAAUUUGUUGAGGUUGGUCCCUAGUCUCUUUGCUUCAUUUUGGGCAGCUUUCAUCCUGGAGAAUACAUUGCAGCUCGCGAUGCUGGUGACAGAAAUCCCGCUGGCUCCACUGUGCUGCAGAGGCUACUUACUGAGCCAUCCGUCUGCCUGCUCUCUUCAUGGCGCUAGAGAUUCCUGCAGGAAACAUAAGACAUCUCUCAAUUUUCAUCCUUUAGUACAAUUUUUAAAUGUUUUUGUAAGUCCUCCAGAAUUUUGGUUAGGUUUAUUCCUGCAUUAUAUUUUUUGUUGCCAUUGCAAAUGCUCUUUUCUACUUGGUGUAAGGAAAAGGUGUUGCUUUCUAUGUCUGGUCUGUGGCCUCUUGCCAUCUGACUGAUUUCUGUACCCUAUCAAACCUGUCCCAGGAUGGUACUUCUAUGAAGUACCUGAAUUAUCCUAGUUUACGCGGGGUUCUCUCUGAGUCUUCUGCACACUCUUGGUUUCCUUCAGAUGUGUAGAGAUUCUUGGUCAUCCGAUCCCACUUCUCAACGAGAGCCAGGACGGUGGCUGUCAAAGUACGAACCAUAGAUUCCUGGAGGAGAGGAGUCAGGUCCUGAGACUUUAUCAAGAUUGCCUACAAGGUCAGAGCUAUUGAGUAGGAAUACAAAGAUGUUUUCUUCCCUCAUGGAUGUUCAGCGAGUCUACAGCAUGUGUAAUAUCACAAGAGGUCGAGAGCAGAGCAGAUAGAAAAAUCCAACUGGCCAUAAGCCAGACUUUGAAAAGACUUUUUAAAAUUCAAAGGAAUAUUACUUUUCUUACUAAAUAGUUUUUAGAAAAGUAUAGCUAUUUUCAUAAAUGUUAUUUGAAGUAACAUGCCAUUGUUAUUAUUAAAUAAAGAAAUACUUAAACAUUU